rnacentral:rRNA from 1 species
GGCACUAUGGUGAUGAGCUGCGUAGGGGGAGGGGAGCGGGGGUUUUUUCAGUGGGUCGGUUUAGUUUUGAGGUUGGUGGCAGUCGGUUCGCUUGUCGUCGGGUCGUGUCCUGGCCUGUGUCGGGGUUUCCUUCGUGUGGCCUUCCUUCGUAGGAGAUCUGAGACGUUCGGAGGUUCGGAAGCGGCGGCGGCGCCAGCGGAGGGGUGGGCCAGGAGCGCGCGGCGGCAACGGUGUCGUCGGUGGCGGUGGCGCAAAAGUAGACGGUAGACGCCUCUGUGGGUAGAUGAUGAGAAGUCCGCUCCCGCCUCCCUGUGUAUGUCUCUCUCCCUCUCCGUACCCCCCGCCCGUAAGCUCCUCGCUCAGCGCCCCCCUGCCCUCGCCCUUGCCCGCCAUGCGCGUGAGCCGCAGGAAGGUCGUCGGCGGCCGCGGCGUCACCCCCGGCGGCCCCCGCCCUCCCAUGGGCAUGCCGCGGCCGGUCCUGCGCGUCCCGCCGAUGAUGCCGCGCGGCGGCGUCGUCCCCCCGAUGCGGCGCGGGAUGGGCCGGAUGGUCGGGCGCGGGCAGCGGCGCGUCGGCGGCGGCGGGCGUCGCGCCCGCCCCCGCCGGUUGUUCGGCGCGGAGCUGGCCGCGAUGAGUGCCUAGCGGCUGCUGAAGGCCAGGCACCUCGUCCAAUGACUACGAGAUCGAGUUCGACCUGAGCUCAGAAGCUUAGAGUAGCACCCAUAACUAAAGUGUUUCUCGUUACUUACCUGUCCGUUUAAGAGGAAGGUACCUGCAUCAAAUGUAGUGUAAUCGUUACAUGGUUUAGGAAUACUUGUUCCUUAGAGCUAAGAACCUGUCUGUAACAGAUUUAAACUACUUCUAUUGAACUAAGGGACGAAGCCUAAACCUCUACGUAGUUGUGUACUGGUUCUGCAUAAGACAAAAAUGGGACUACUCUCUGGCACGUUACCUAAGAGUCUUCGAGAACUCGCUAUGUCCCUUGAGCAAGGUGUAAACGCGAACCGACCUGGUUGUAGAAAACGUGGUUAUCAACUCUACCGAUACUGGUAGCACCUCGUUUCACCACCCGUCAUGGUACAAGACGACUAUUAACGACUGCCUGUCCAAUGUUCCUCACAUCUAUGACGUAGACCCGUCGACUCAAGGGUUCUCGUUUUCUGACAACUACGGUAACACUCCCGGUCACUUGACGGCGAUAGAUAACACAAUCAUCCUCAACCACUACCGGGUACCCUGUACUACUUCCUUAAACUACUGUUGUAAGGACGGGCCCGAAAACUAUUAAAAGUUAAACACUUGAAGAGCCUCUAUUACAGAUUUUUGUACGGUGUUAGUUCUUUUCUCCGUCGCAAACGUGAAAGUCGGAACUACCUCUAUGGUGUUGUCAUGUUUCGUUGACACCUUAAUCCUUAUAAUCCAGCAGCAAGAUACUUCCGAGGUCUUUCCCAAGGAGACGGAGGAGGACCACCUUCGGUACUACGAAUAAGUAUACCUAGAUUUUCGAAAUCAUUUGGAGUCGGAUCAUGUAGAAGUAGUCGCAUAGGAGGGAUACUUUGACGUGUAUGACGCCGGGGACGACGUGGCAGAAGACGAAUACUAUUAGUCCAAACGGGAUAGACGGAACACUUGGGCUUCCUGUACCGAAAACCGACACCUGUGGUCUGCACGACACUUACACCUGUCUGUAACCUCAGUACGGGUUAGACAGCCUCAGGUUAGUGGUGGUCUUAUUUCGAUAUAAUCGUUCACCACCAAACCUAGUAACGCUUACCCACCGCAAUGACCUCUGGUGGGGACGCAGUGUGACCUGCUACCUGAAGUUCGAGAGGUUCGGGUCAGGUACUUCCCGAGCUAGCCGAGAGCCUCUAAUGUGGUCCGUAGCCAGACGCAGCUCAAAACGUCCCGGCUACUUAGGCGGCAGGGUUUCUACCCUCGUCCCCGGCCAGAGCUCAUAGAUGUGGGUUGGUCCUUACUAGGUUUGAGGUCGCGUUCUUUACCUACGUCCAAAAGUUCCCGGUAACCGUACGCUUUUGUUGUUUUUCUCUCUCUUUUCUUGUCUUUUUGCUCUUUGACGACGACUACCUAGGUCGCUUGGCACACACCAUGAACGUUCACACAUGUAUACCUACACCAAGAACUCGACGGCAAAGUGGGCCCUAUACAAACAAAAAACCAACUAACUACGCAGACAUGUUUAGGCGUCACAAGAGAACGUUCCCUCCACCGUAAUAAAAUAAAAUAAAAAGCAAAGCUUAACCUUCAAAGAAGAACGAGUUUACCGCAGGUUACGUCCACCAAGUGGUGAUGAUGAUACUCAUGACGAUAAAAUCACAGUGCAAACCGUACAAUUGCACGGGUGCGUAACUGUGCCUAUGCUACCGGACUAUCACGAUCAUCAUUGACAAUACAGUGCCAACCCGCGUGCGUGACGUAGUAGUAGGACGCGCCGCCCUAUCCGCACGAGAUCCACAGCCGCUUCUUCGCCAUCUGCGACCGCAACACGUCCUACUCAGACUGGCGCCGCCGCCUCCACCGCUCAGGCUACCGGCUCCUCUGCUGCUACUACGAGGUCACGGUCUCGGACGUGGUAGAGGGCAGUGUGAGGGGAAACUA